rnacentral:lncRNA from 1 species
GUUCUUCCUUCUCUGCAUGAAAUUGGACAUCUGUUGACAGCUGGGUGAAAUUUCUUUGACAGGAAAUUUUUUGUCAGGAGGGGGAAGUAAUCAAAUUUGGCAGCCAUGGAAUAUUUUAACAAGUUUGCAUUGGUUUCUCUAAGGAGCUUGUCUUGCACAAAUUUCAUAAAAAGCAGUCAUAUUUGUGUUGUACUUUGUAAUGUAAAAAUUAUAUCUUGGCAUCAUGAUGAGCGCUAUUAUAGUGUCAUGGAAGUGCACAUGGCCAAUAUAUAUCUAAUGGAGAGGAGUCUCAGAGACUUUAAAAUUAGUUUAGUUUAGUUUAGUUUAGAUUUAAAAAAAAAAAAACAAAAAACCCUCAUCUCUUACUGCUUUCAUCUCCUCAAAAAAAGUAAAUGAAAAAGAAAGCUUUCAUAUCAUAAUUCUAAUUUCAAAUUCUCUACUGUUUGUCAGUCAGAGAAGCUGAUCUACAAACAUCCUUCUUACUGAGGGAUACUGGCUCUGCUGUACUUUUCCGUUCUAGAUCACAACACCAGUAGGAUACACAGAGAUGCUUUGGUGUAAAACCAGCCAAAGGCACGUGCACAUACGGAUAUGUACACUGAUACUAAUCAGCUUCCAAAGAUGGCAGUAAAAGAUCAGCUCCAACAGUGGACAGAUGUUUCCUGCUUCAGUGCUACACAUAUUGCAGCAUAUGUACCAGAAUAUGCAGGAACAAGUGAUACAAGACUCCCCACCUUUUACCAAUCACUGUCUGCAAACAUUAUGAUGAAAAUUUGUAGCCAUUUUCCCAUCUUAGAGUGUUCUUCAUGAUAGUUAGCAUAGCAGAGAUAUUAUGGAGGCACUGGAUGCAUCGGUCUAAUACUUUUAAGAAACAAACUUUGCAGAAUGUUAUUGAUUAAAAUGCUCUUGAUGAAAUGAUGACAAUACCACCUCUUUUUUUUUUUUUUUAUCUUAAGGACAAAAAAAAAAAA